rnacentral:misc_RNA from 1 species
GAUGAAGAACGUAGCGAAAUGCGAUACGUAAUGUGAAUUGCAGAAUUCAGUGAAUCAUCGAGUCUUUGAACGCACAUUGCGCCCCCUGGUAUUCCGGGGGGCAUGCCUGUCCGAGCGUCAUUGCUGCCCUCAAGCACGGCUUGUGUGUUGGGCCUCCGUCCUCCUCCCGGGGGACGGGCCCGAAAGGCAGCGGCGGCACCGCGUCCGGUCCUCGAGCGUAUGGGGCUUCGUCACCCGCUCUUGUAGGCCCGGCCGGCGCUUGCCGACACAUCAAUCUUUUUUCCAGGUUGACCUCGGAUCAGGUAGCGAUACCCGCUGAACUUAAGCAUAUCAAUAAGCGGAGGA